ACACCAAGUUAUUUCUUUUUUUAGUGGAUCAGUACAUGUGAUAGUUAUUUGCACUAAUAUUUUUAUUCCAUGUAAAACACAGAUACUGAAGACCGGUUUCUUCCAUGCUGAUCCGCAUCCUGGAAACCUUGCCAUAGACAAGGAUGGCUCUCUAAUAUAUUAUGAUUUUGGAAUGAUGGGUGAAAUCAAAUCAUUCACUCGAGAUAGAUUACUCUCCUUGUUCUAUGCUGUGUAUGAGAAGGACGCGAACAAGGUUAUAAAACCUUUAAUUGACCUGGAAGCUCUUCAGACAACAGGAGACCUCUCACCGGUAAGAAGGUCUGUACAAUAUUUCUUGGACAAUCUGCUGAGCCAGUCACCGGAUCAACAGCAGACUCUAGCUGCAAUUGGAGAGGACUUGUUUGCAAUUGCUCAAGAUCAACCGUUCCGUUUUCCUUCCACAUUUACCUUCGUCAUAAGAGCAUUCUCAACCUCUUCACCUCACCCAGAGUGGAUGAAGCUGCAUCAAGUUCAACAAAAGAUGCCUGGUGAGUCUUUUGAACAGUAGGCUCUACCCCAUCCUUGACUGUAAGUUUUGUAUGAUGAGACAUAACCACGACUUUUUUCAUAUGUUUUGGCAAAUACUGUAAGAAGGUCUUUGUAGUUCAUGGGGGGUCUGUGUAGAGAUUUGGCACUUUCCAAACUAAGCUGUAAAUACUGAGUUAUGGUGUUUGACCAUGAUGGUGAGCUCUGUGCCUGUCUCAUUCAUAGAAUUCCCCUAACUCAUUCUUUUUAAUCUUUACUCUUGGAAAAAUUCCUUUAAUCAAAUCCUUGCUAUUAUGAUUGAAUGCACAUCCACUUCAUAUAAUGUCAAUUUGCAUAGUUUUCAACACAAAGUAUUCACUCCAAAUUCUGUUUUCUUUAAGCAUUUGUCUUAUAUUACUAUUCGUAUUUGAACAUGUUUCUAUUUGUAUUUGGACAUGUAACGCCCUCUCCAAGUUCAUCUUUCUUGCCAUGUAGCGUUCUCCCCUAGUUGACCGUUCCUGCCCAUGAUUUAAUACUCUUCUCUGGUUUAUUCUUUUAGUUGUCAAACCAAAUAAAGUUUAUUCUUUUAGCGUCUUUUUGCGAAUAUGUGCAAACAUGAUAUGUCUAGUGGAAUUCACAUGGAUAGCACAAUGUGUUGGGAGAGGAAUACCUCUCUGUAAAAGCUAACAAAACUAACUGUUGUUGUCCCUGUUGCGUGGACGAGAAGCCCCUGCUGCUGCGGCUGCUGUUGUCCCUGUUGUGUGUGGUAGAAGCCCGUGCUGCUGCUGUUGUUCGCCCCGAACGCGCACCGGCACCAGCCACCGACACCUCCCGGCGGCGGGCUGACGCCUUCUUGCCAGAGUCUUGAGGCACGUAGAGCGCGGAAGAGGAGGUAUCACCAUGUCAUUCUCAUGUCCAUCCAGUGGUGGAGCUAGAGAAUUGUACAAGCCUGGGCAUGCCGAAUAUUCCCAGUCUAGCAGAUUUGGAAUGGUAUGGUGUCGGUGCAGUGGUGCCGGGAUGAAGGUGCGGUCGUUGCAGUCCUGGGCAGCGCUAAAUGUUGAGUGGAUUGCUUCGUAGAUUUCUUUCGCAACAGGCUAGAGUCAAAAAGGUCUUGUAUGAGGGUCUCAUUCAAAUUCAGUGGCUUUAAACAACAUGAUUCACAGGUGGUGGAUUAAUCAAACGAAAAUUAUUACGAAUGAAGAUGACAUGGGCAAACAAUAAAUGAGAACGAACGACCAGCAGAAAAGAGGAACUUGGAAUUUUGUUGAUUACUCGCAAGCAGCACAAAAAUCACCCAGUUUCUAAUUUUCUAGCCAUAUCCAGUGCAGAAGAGCCUGGUCCUUAGCCCUGACGCGGCCGUGGAGGAGGAAUAGGAGUGGAAGAGAAGGAGUCGGACGCAUGCCCGAAAAGAACUAACCGGACGAGCAGGGCCGACGAGCAGCGGAAGAACAACAGCAGGGGCAGCGGAAGAACAGCCGGCAAGCAGCGGAAGAACGGCAGUGGUGACGUGCGCUCAGGCUGGGCGAUCGCUGGCCUGGGCGCAGGGGCAGCGGAAGAACAGCCGGCGAGCAGCGGAAGAACGACAGCGCCGACGUGCGAUCGGGCUGGGUGAUCGCUGGCAUGGGCGCAGGGGCAGCGGAAGAACAGCCGGCGACUGGCGGAAGAACGGCAACGCAAGCGGCGGAAGAACGGCAGCACGGACGUGCGCUCGGGCUGGGCGAUCGCUGGCCUGGGCGACGUGGGUUUGACUGCGUGCGUUUUUUUUCGGGCUGGGCGAUCGCUGGCCUGGGCGACGUGGGUUUGACUACGUGCGUUUCUUUUUUUGGGUUUCAGCCGGUGGUAAUUGUAUGAUGAGGGAACGAGACUUUGGUUGGCUAGUUCGCUGGCCUGGGCGACGUGGGUUUGACCGCGUGCUGGUUUUCUUCAUUGAACCGUUUGGUUUUCGCAGGGUUGGGAAAAAAUCUGUAGGAGGAAAAAAAGCUGUGCCAGGAGGACGUGGGUGGGAGC